ensembl:snRNA U1 U1 spliceosomal RNA
AUAUUUACCUGGUAGUGAAGAUACUGUGAUCAGGUGGCUUUUCCAGGGUGAGGCUUAUUGAUUGCAUUCCAGAUGUGCUGACCCCUGUGAUCUCCCCAAAUGAGGGAAAUUUAACUGCAUCAUUUGUGGUAGUUGGAGGCUGUAUUCGCACUGUCUCUGA